rnacentral:rRNA from 1 species
AUGGCGGCGGCCGCGGGCACAGCGAGGCAGGAGGGCGCGGCGCCCAGGGUGGGGCUGCUGUACGACCAGAGGAUGCUGGCGCACGCGCCUGCCUUGAACACAGAAAAGGAGACCCCCGAGCGGCUACGCGCCAUCUGGCGCAAGCUCGCCGCCGAGGGCGUCACCUCCAGGUGUGUGGGCAUGAGGGCGAAGGAAGCCAAGGAAAAAUAUAUAGCCUCUGUCCAUGCCCGGAAGCAUGUAGAUCUGAUAAGGAAAAUCAGCUCGAAGGAUAGUUCCGAUCUGAAAAAGACUGCUAAGAAAUUCGAUUCCGUUUACUUCAGCAAAGGCUCCUCAGAGUCUGCUUUCCUUGCGGCUGGUUCUGUCAUCGAGGUUGCUGAGAAGGUUGCGGCUGGUGAGCUGAGUUCUGCUAUCGCUCUAGUCAGACCUCCAGGCCACCAUGCCGAACAUAGCCAUCCCAUGGGAUAUUGCCUCUUCAACAAUGUGGCAAUUGCAGCUAACUACCUGUUAAAUGAAAGGCCUGACCUAGGUAUCAACAAGAUAUUAAUCGUCGAUUGGGAUGUUCAUCAUGGAAAUGGCACGCAGAACAUGUUUUAUAAUGACCCUCGUGUAUUGUUCUUUUCAGUGCACAGAUAUGGUUAUGGAAGCUUCUACCCUUAUGAAGCGGAUGCAUCACACGUUUUCAUUGGGGAUGAAACUGGUCGAGGGUACAACAUUAAUGUGCCCUGGGAGCAUGCGAAAUGCGGUGAUGCAGAUUAUGUUGCUGCAUGGGACCAUGUACUCCUUCCUGUUGCAGAAGCAUUUGAUCCGGAUAUAAUAUUACUGUCUGCUGGGUUUGACGCAGCACUGGGUGAUGAUAUGGGUGAUUGCUGCAUCACUCCAAAUGGAUAUGCACUGCUACUAACAAAGCUGUUAGGUUUUGCAAAAGGAAGGAUUGUGAUGGCCCUUGAAGGAGGUUAUAACCCUGAGUCCAUAGCAAACUCAGUUUGUGCUUGCGCAAAAGUAUUGUUGGGAGAUAAAUUCACACUUAACUCUCCAGAGAUGCAACCAUUCGAAUCUACAUGGAGAGUCAUACAAAUGGUACGCGAUGAAUUAAAGACAUACUGGCCUGUUUUGAGCAGUAAGCUUCCGGAGAACGUAUCUUUGAGGAGUACGCCCUCAUAUAUCCAGAAGUGA